UAUCGAAUUAUAAGCGGAGGUUGCUGCUGGCCCCCCCUGGGGGCAUGUGCACACCCGAGCUCUUAAUCCACUUACACCUGUGAACUCUUUUUGUGGGGAAACCCAUCUCUCCCCCCAGGGGGCAAGAUUGGGAAUCCUCAUGUAUUUUUUCAUAUACCCUUAUGCAAGUCUCGGAAUGUCUUCAUGUUUGCUCUAACGCAAUCUAAUGAUAUACAACUUUCAACAACGGAUCUCUUGGCUCUCGCAUCGAUGAAGAACGCAGCGAAAUGCGAUAAGUAAUGUGAAUUGCAGAUUUUCAGUGAAUCAUCGAAUCUUUGAACGCACCUUGCGCUCCUUGGUAUUCCGAGGAGCAUGCCUGUUUGAGUGUCAUUAAAUUCUCAACUUCACCGAUUUGCUUCGAGUGAAGCUUUGGACUUGGAGUGUGCUGGCACCCCUUCUGGGGAGGGUCGGCUCCUCUUUAAAUGCAGCAGCGGGAGGCAUCUUUGACUUUCCGGCGUCGGUGUGAUAAUCGUGUUGCGCCGUUGGGCCGAGGUCUCAGUCCGCUUACAAUGGUCUCAGGACGAGGAUUGAAACAUUUG
rnacentral:misc_RNA from 1 species